AUUAUAAGUUUGAACAUUAUUAUGGUUCUAUUGUCAAAGAAUUUACUUCUAUAAUCACAGAUUUCUAUUCAAUAUUAUUAAACAAUAUUAAUCUAUUCUUAAUUUGACCACAGGCUUUAAACACUAACAAAAGUUUGACAAUAAACAAAAGAGUAUAUAUGCGUGUCUGUGUCAAAUACAUGGUAGUGUGUGUAAUGUUUUCUAUAUUGUUUUAAUGUAUUUUUAAUACAUCAUUUAAAAAAAUGUUAGCUUUCUGCACUCCUUCUCUAUAUUCUCUGUAAGUGUGGGAAAUUUCAUACUCCUCCGUCUGCACAAUUUUCGUAAAAAGGGGUACAAAGUUUUUGCUUCACGUAUUAAUAUAUAGAUAGGCUUCCGGGUUCGUAGACUAUGGAUCCGGAAGCUUGUGCUUUUUGUUGCUCAUUACGCUGAUGAUGAAAUAUUUAAUUAGCUAAACGAGAAAAUUAGCUAUACGGAUAAUUGUUAUUAUCGGCUUAAUGAUUUGUUUGUAAACAUUUAGCAUUUAAUAAUUAUAUUCUAGUGAAGCUGGUUUAUCAGUUAGGGGUCAGGGUAUAAUUUUGUUUAUCUUUAGUUUGUAGAUAAACGGGGAAAUUGCUGUUACAUCGAUCGAUGGUAAACAAAAAUAAUAAAAUAAUUAUAACCAAAGUCUGAUGGAAAAUUUAUAUCUCAGACCUCUCUUCUUCUAUCCCCUUGAAAAUUAUUUAUUUACAUUAGCUGACCAGGCGAGCUCGAGGCUCAUCCAGGGACAACUGGUGAUUAGAGCUCAUGGACAUCGUAUAUACUGACGCCACGAAAAUAGCAUUGUGUCCCACCCUUCUAAUGCUUCGCGAAAUAAAUAGGCAAAACGAUGGGUAUCAAAUCAUGCACGCUCAGAACUGGUCACUGAACAAAUUUGGGUUUAACCUUAUGAGGUCAGCGUCCCAGUCGUUGAUGAUCACGGGAGAGGAUUCUAUUAGCUUAUUACGGGCGAGUGGAUGCGCGCUCCGGUUAUCGUCUUCGUCGAACCCGAACCACGAAGGGCUCGACGAGUAAAUUAACCCACAGACAUAGCUCACUGAGUUUCUCGCCGAAUCUUCUCAGUGGGUCGCGUUUCCGAUCCGGUGAUAGAUUCUGCGAAGCACGGCUCUUGCUAGGGUGCUUGUUUGCGUGUUAGCAACGUCGUCAGGUUUGAGCCCCGUGAGCUCAUCUACUAGUUCGGCGAAUUUAGAAUAACUUCUUGAGGUUACCAGAAUAGGAAGGAAAAAAAGUUGCGCGCAGCGACCAUUGUUGGCUAACUGGUAAGAGUUUGGAAAUUUAAUGUUUAGAGAGUAAUUUUAUAUUUGUCAGUAUCAGAUAAAAAGGCUUGAUUUGUAAUCUAAAUUACGAUAUAAACUAUUAAGAAAAAUGUGUUGAUUUUUAUUGUAUUUGAAAAAGGCUAUUUCUAACUUCCAUUAAUUUUAGUUGCAUUUAAUUGUGAACUCAUUUCAACAUUCUGUAUGUUUGACAGUUAAUAAAUGUUCAUUUAUUAUGUAAUACAUAUAAUUUUAUUUUACAUAAUUUCUAAUUUGAAUUCUUUUCUGUUAAAAUUUUUUUAUCCAUCUAUUUUUUCUGUUAAAAAAAGCACUGCUAAAGUUUGAAUGAGAAAAUUACAAAAGUAACAAAUAAACAGCAUAAUUUAACGUAUAGGUUGUGUUGUUUCAAAUAUUUCGUGCGUUGUUUGUGAAUGUUAUCUGCGCGCGUGUGUCGGGCACUGUAGCUUCGCUUCGGUCAAGUCAGUUCAUGCUUUUAUCAUCAGAUCAAAUGACUGCGACAACUAAUAUUGUAACCGGAACAUAAAGAGCUUAAGAAAACUAUAAAAUUGCAUUGCUCCUGGCGGCUGAAUUUGAAAAAGACUUAAAAAACUUUGGUGUCAUGGCAGACGUCGCUCGCUGACACUUUUACGUUCAGAAACUGAACAGUUUUUAAUAGAGCAAAAGUAAGGUGGAUCUCCUGCUGGCUGAUGCCGAACUCGUUCUCAGCGAUGCAGAUGUAGACGCCGGUGUCGUUCCGGUACAGCGACACGAUCUCCAGCGUGCCGUCCGACAGCACGCGCGUCCGGCCCUCGCUGCCGUCGAUCUGCCCGACGCAGCCAACACAUCAGCGAAACGAGCAGCACCAUUAUACAUUUUUCGAAGUGAAACUUCUUUAGAAUCGUUUUGUUUUCAAACUCGAUGAAACGAAAAAAUAAGUCCAUAGAGACACAAACACAUAAAUGUAUAGGAUUCAGCCGGCGAGAGAAUGAGAUAGAACACAUUAGACGAUUUCAGUGUAGUGUUUUUUUAAUAUAGCGCCAUCUAUGAGAUUUUUUUAUACUAACGUGUACGUACAAUUAUUUACUAAUGACAAAAUUUGACAUAUACUUAGACAUUCAGGAUAAUUGUAUUUUAAUUUCUGAAGGUUUCACUUCUACCACGUGUGAAUUGCACACAUGUUUUUAUUUAAGGAAGUAUUACAGGUGGCCCGGAGGCAUUGCCAGUUUCACCAGGACAGAUGGGCGAGCAAAGGCUCAGCCACGAAGGGUGGGAUUUGCUAACAGCUGUCCGAGCGCCUCCGAAGGAGACCUAACAUCUCAAGAGCAGCAGGCGAUACAAUAACACUUAUUAUGACUGUGUUCGGCACUAUCAAAUCAAAUCAAAACAAUAUCGACAAUUUAAAGAAGCUUAUAGCGAAUCGGUAUAGUGUUUGGAGGCUCACAGUGAUUUCUCCUUUCCUCCAAGUGAUCUUGGGCGGCGGGUUCCCGUGGAAUAUACAGCGCAGCGUCGCCUUCCCGCCCUCCGCCGCGUUCACCUCCGGUUCGGUUUCGGGACUGGCCUGCGGGGCUCGAGGCGGCUCUGCGUCGGAAGUCACGUACAUAAACAUGAAAUGUAACUUAGCACUUCGUAUCAUCGUGGUACGACGUCUUCAAGUGGAAGAUGGUCCAAUCCUGUCUAUGUUUGCCGCGAAGCAGAACAAGAUAUACUGAGUUUGA